UACGUAGGGUGCAAGCGUUAAUCGGAAUUACUGGGCGUAAAGCGUGCGCAGGCGGCUUUGCAAGACAGAUGUGAAAUCCCCGGGCUCAACCUGGGAACUGCACUUGUGACUGCAUAGCUAGAGUACGGUAGAGGGGAGUGGAAUUCCGCGUGUAGCAGUGAAAUGCGUAGAUAUGCGGAGGAACACCGAUGGCGAAGGCAGCUCCCUGGACCUGUACUGACGCUCAUGCACGAAAGCGUGGGGAGCAAACAGG
rnacentral:rRNA from 1 species